UACAAUAAUCCCAUCAAGCAGAAAAGUGGACGAACUGCUUGCAACAUCGGGCACUUUUCUAUUUGAUGGGUAAACAGUCAUAAGCACGCAGGACGAUAGUCCGGAGUGCGCAUGGCUGGCACGAUUUCGAGAGUUCGAAGAACGAAGAAAUCGUGAUUAUUGUA
rnacentral:ncRNA from 1 species